UACAGAGGUCUCAAGCGUUGUUCGGAUUCAUUGGGCGUAAAGGGUGCGUAGGCGGCGCGGUAAGUCGGGUGUGAAAUCUCGGAGCUUAACUCCGAAACUGCAUUCGAUACUGCCGUGCUUGAGGACUGGAGAGGAGACUGGAAUUUACGGUGUAGCGGUGAAAUGCGUAGAUAUCGGAAGGAACAUCAGUGGCGAAAGCGACUUCCUGGACCAAUACUGACGCUCAUGUGCGAAAGCGUGGGGAGCAAACAGG
rnacentral:rRNA from 1 species